AUUACAAUCAUUGCUUUGGUGUACCAAUGAGGGUUUUCAAUCUGAGCAGUUUACAACCCAACUUAAUAUUACAGAGCAGUGCAACAACAACACUUUCCACCAACAGAUUUAAAGCAAAUAUUGGGCUUGUUUUGGGCACUGGCGGCAGUUAUGUCAAGCACCCCAUGUACUGAGGCUGUGGUCCUCGUCGCAACGGCCAUGGGUUCGAAUCCGACUUGGCGAUUUGCUCUGUGUCAUCCCACACUCUCUACUCCCAACAUUUCCUGUCUCUCUUCAGCUGAAUAAAGGUGAUGUCCCAAAAAUAUAACAAAAAAACAAAAAUGAAAGAA